ACAAUCACUACACUUGACCUGUAGGAGAUGUUGGUGGUGUUGAAGCGUUUUGAAUGCAAAUAUCAGACAUAAUAUGGCUUGCUGUGCGAUUAAUUGUACUAACAGACCGUCCAGGAAGUCUGGUCUCCAGUUUUGUCGAUCGACAUCGACGUCAUAGGUGUUAUGACUGAUGAGCAGCUAAGAGAGUAUAUAGAACAAUAUGGGGACCGACUUGAAAUCCGUGCAUUUUGUCGCCAAAAAAAUGUGAAGUCAGGAGGAGUGGAGACAGUUAAGUCUUCUCUCAUGCAAAAAGUAAGAGAGAGGCUAGGGGAAAACCAUAGGAAAACUCCUGACAACCCAGAAGAAGGCCCUGGUAUUGGAAACCAACAUGCCGUCAAAGAUACCCGGCGGGUUGAGAUGGGAUGGCUCCAUUCUGAGGACGGCACUUUUCACCAAAUAAAAACCAAAAAGGGAGGUGGAACACGACACCUUUCGGUCCGGAAAUCAAUAACGAUGAGAGAACUGCUGGAGACAGGCAAAGGCUUGUUUUUUCCAAAUGGACAUUCGUCCAAAGGGCCGAUGGCAAACUUCGAAUUUGAUAUUCGUGAUUAUAGUCACAGCACAGUAUCCCCUGAAGUCACAGUGGGCCAGCUGUACGAGCAGACCAAACUAAAGAUGUUGCGCGUCUACACAACCACACUGGCUAAAGACGUGACACCGGUAUCUGAUGCAUCAUCGGACUUUGAGCCCCCAGAGGAGAGUCCAAUGAAGACAGGAGAACCAAUCAGCCAAUCAAGACAAGCAACUCCUGUGAUGAGUAAAACAGAGGUUCUGCAUCCACCAUCUGCCAAUACUUGCCAAUCAACAAGCAGCCAUGGAUCUGAAGAUGAAUGUUUAAUGGCUGAGUCAAAUCAAGAUGCAAACCAGUCGUUAAAUUAUGAGGCAGAUCUUGCCCUUGCCAUCCAAGCAUCUCUUGAGGAAUUCGAAGUACACUUUGGACCCGUUAUUGGUGAUGAUGGGGAUAAUCAAGACUUCACCCUUCCCUGGAAUCCACAUGACUUUAACAGUAUGCAGCACUCUACACUGAAUGACGGACCUGAAUCAUCAAGCAGUCUUCCAGCUGCACCAGACCAAUCUGAAAAAGGAAUUUCUCCUUGUGAAAGUAAGACGAGUAAACAUAGUCGAUGAUGUCCUUAAUGUCUUCAUGGAACCAAAAGUAAUGAAAGCUAAUCUAAAAAUGGAGUUUACAAAUGAGAAAGCUGUGGAUAGUGAUGGUGUGUCAAGAGAGGCAUACUCCGCGUUCUGGGAACAUUUCUUGGAACAGUGUGAGGGGGAAGAAUAACGAGUACCCAGACUGCAACCAUACUAUUCCGAGAAGAAAUGGCAAGCUCUUGAAAGAGUGUGGUUGAAAGGAUACCUGGACCACAAAUUCAUGCCAAUCAGACUGUCACCAGCUUUUGUUCUAGCCUGUUGUCAAGGAGUUAGUUCGGUGGAUGAAGAAUUCUUGAUGAUGUCAUUUGCCAGAUUUCUUUCAGGGAAUGAGCGUGCAUCGCUUGAAAAAGCACUACAGGGCAACAUUGAUGAAACUGUUGAAGAGGACUUACUUGAGAUCUUCUCAAGAAUGGGCUCACACUGCCUGCCCUCUAAAGACAACUUAUGAGCUGCCAUCUUAACAAUGGUGCACAAAGCUCUGAUUCAAGAGCCUAAGUUCAUAAUUGACUGUUUCCACUCCAGUAUUCACAAUGCUGUGCUAGCACUCAUAACCAAAGAGAGCAUAAUGGAGCUUUACGAAUCUAAGAGGCCAACUAACAAGAAAGUGGCCCAGAUGAUAAAGCCACCAACUGAAAGUCUAAAUCCACAAGAGCAGACAGCUCUUAACCACCUGCUACGGUAUGUUAGAAGCAUCAACCCAAAAAAAUUUGAGAUGUUCUUACGCUUCUGCACAGGAUCCACUGUGCUGUGCAAAGACACAAUCGAAGUAACUUUUAAUAGAUUGCGUGGUUUAAGUCGCAGGCCUGUAGCACAUACGUGGAGCGUUUCUUGAGUUACCAUGCACCUACAGCUCAUACCCUGAGUUUCGUAAAAUAAUUUGACAAUAUCCUGUCUGGUGACUGCUUUACAAUGGAUAUUGUGUAGUGAAUGUAAGGGAAUUUACACAUGUCCAUCUUCCACAGAUAUUGGUAUGACAUUUUUCGGUAACAUUUUAUUUUAUGGGGUCCCAAAUACAGUGUAUCUACACCAUGAAGUGUAACAAACUGUGUAACAAUAUGUAAUAUCAUGUAUCAUGUAUGUAACCACUGACCCUUACCCUAUGUACACUGUAAAUGCAUGGUAUUAGUACACAGUUUGUUACGCUGCACUUAGGGAUUUAGAUACGUUUGAUCAUUGUAAAAUAAAGUUUUACCCAUUUGGGUUUACAUUUAGUCAGAAAGGUCUGUGAUCAUAUUUGUUCAUUCAUGUAUUACAACUAAGACAACAGUGCUGGCUACUACAAGGAGAGGAAAUGUAAUCAGAUGAACUGUUUUUAUUUUUGUUUUAUUUUGUUAUUGUAACAUUUAUUUUGCUGUGAUAUGUGCCAGUACUCUGAGUUUGGAAUUUUGCUUAAGUCCAAAAGACAGGUCUAGUUUAAUAAUUUGGACAAGUCAGAAAGGUCGGUCCGUGUAGCCUACUUAUAAAAAUGAUUGCAUACACAAAUAUUUGCAUG